rnacentral:rRNA from 1 species
GCCGCAAGGGUCAGUAGCGGUGGCAACGGGUGAGUACACGUGGGUGACCUGCCUUCGAGUUGGGGGAUAACGUCCCGAAAGGACGCUAAUACCGCAUGACAUCCCGCUUUGAACAGGUGGAGAUCAAAGCUGGGGAUCGAAGACCUAGCGCUGGAAGAGGGCCCGCGCCUGAUUAGCUAGUUGGUGGGGUAACGGUCACCAAGGCAACGAUCAGUAUCCGGCCUGAAGGGCGGACGGACACACUGGGACUGAACACGGCCAGACUCCUACGGGAGGCAGCAGUGGGGGAUUGUUCGCAAUGGGCGCAAGCCUGACGACGCAACGCCGCGUGGAGGAUGAAGACCUUCGGGUCGUAAACUCCUUUCGAUCGAGACGAAUGGUUCCGGGUGAACAAUCCGGAGGGAAUGACGGUACCGAGAGAAGAAGCCCCGGCUAACUCCGUGCCAGCAGCCGCGGUAAUACGGGGGGGGCAAGGUUGUUCGGAAUUACUGGGGGUAAAGGGUCGUAGGUGGCAACUAAGUCAACGUGAAAAUUCCCUCGGGUUUAACCGGGGAACUGCGUCUGAUACUGAUGGUUGAGUUCGGGAAGAAGGAUGCGGAAUUCCAGGUGUAGCGGUGAAUGCGUAGAAUUCUGGAGGACACCGGUGGCGAAGCGGCAUCCUGGACCGACACUGACACUGAGGACGAAGCAGGGAGCAACGG